GAAAGCAUCUAAGCACGAAACUUGCCCCGAGAUGAGUUCUCCCUGAGACUUUAAGUCUCCUGAAGGAACGUUGAAGACGACGACGUUGAUAGGCCGGGUGUGUAAGCGCAGUGAUGCGUUGAGCUAACCGGUACUAAUGAACCGUGAGGCUUAACCUU
rnacentral:rRNA from 1 species